GAGUGGCGCACGGGUGAGUAACGCGUACGUUACCUGCCUAUCGAUGGAGGAUAACCAGAAGAAAUUCUGGCUAAUACCGCAUACUUACGAAAGUAGAAAGGAUGCUUCGGAAUUCCUCGAUAGAUGGUCCUGCCUCUCAUUAGCUUGAUGGUGGGGUAAUGACCUACCAUGGCAACGAUGCUUAACUGGUCUGAGAGGAUGAUCAAUCCCACUGGAACUGAAACACGGUCCAGACUCCUACGGGAGGCAGCAGUGGGGAAUAUUGCGCAAUGGACGAAAGUCUGACGCAGCAACGCCGCGUGAGUGAGGAAGGCCUUCGGGUUGUAAAGCUCUGUCAGAUGGGAAGAAAACUACUGGUCUAAUAGGCCAUGUACUUGACGGUACCAUCAAAGGAAGCACCAGCUAACUUCGUGCCAGCAGCCGCGGUAAUACGAAGGGUGCAAGCGUUACUCGGAUUUACUGGGCGUAAAGCGCGCGCAGGCGGACAAAUUAAGCCAGAUGUGAAAUCCCAGGGCUCAACCCUGGAACUGCGUCUGGAACUGGUCGUCUAGAAUAUUGGAGAGGGAAUGGGAAUUUCUCAUGUAGGGGUAAAAUCCGUAGAGAUGAGAAGGAACACCAGAGGCGAAGGCGCAUUCCUGGCCAAUUAUUGACGCUGAGGCGCGAAAGCGUGGGGAUCAAACAGGAUUAGAUACCCUGGUAGUCCACGCUGUAAACGAUGUGCACUAGAUGUGGGGAUGUGUCCAUUUCCGCGUCAAAGCUAACGCAUUAAGUGCACCGCCUGGGGAGUACGGUCGCAAGACUAAAACUCAAAGGAAUUGACGGGGGCCCGCACAAGCGGUGGAUUAUGUGGUUUAAUUCGAAGCAACGCGCAGAACCUUACCUAGGUUUGAAGUUCCACGAACCCGGCCCAAAAGCUGGGGUGCUCUUCGGAGAAUGUGGUGCUAGGCGUUCCAUGGCUGUGGUCAGCUCGUGUCGUGAGAUGUUGGGUUAAGUCUCGCAACGAGCGCAACCCCUAUCCUUAGUUGCCAGCAUUAAGUUGGGCACUCUAGGGAGACUGCCUGGGUUAACCAGGAGGAAGGUGGGGAUGACGUCAAGUCCUCAUGGCCCUUAUGUCUAGGGCUACACACGUAAUACAAUGGCACAUACAAAGGGAAGCGAACUCGCGAGGGGGAGCAAAUCUCAAAAAGUAUGUCUCAGUCCGGAUUGGAGUCUGCAACUCGACUCCAUGAAGUUGGAAUCGCUAGUAAUCGCGGAUCAGCACGCCGCGGUGAAUACGUUCCCGGGCCUUGUACACACCGCCCGUCACACCAUGGGAGUUAUUCUCACCUGAAGC
rnacentral:rRNA from 1 species